rnacentral:tRNA from 1 species
AAGACUUGCAUCAUGCUAUAAUGCAUCUCCUGAAUGCAAAUCAAGCGAUUUAAUUAAACUAAAGCCUC